AGGGAUGUGGCUCAGUGGUAGAGUGCCUGGCUAGUACCUACUAGGCCCUUGGUUCUAUCCCUGGCAUCACAA
rnacentral:tRNA from 1 species